AACAAUCGAAUUCUUUUCAGAUGCAAAUUGUAAAGUACAUUCUUUAAAUUCUUGAUAAUUUGUUCUAUUUGUUCAUGAAGUUGGCAGAAAAUUUAUGGGAGAAAGCCCUGUUGACUUGCCGCCAUGGUUCUCUGUGCUGUCUAUAGCAUUGAACUCAAAUGUAGACCUUGAUGUCUCAAGAAUUGAAACAGCUCCACAAAGUAUGUUUCCGAUCAUAUGCUUUAGAGAUGGAAGUCCUCCACUGCCAGAUUCCUUAUCAAUGACGAAUUCAG